UGCAGUCGAGGGGUAUAUGUCUUCGGAUAUAGAGACCGGCGCACGGGUGCGUAACGCGUAUGCAAUCUGCCUUUCACAGAGGGAUAGCCCAGAGAAAUUUGGAUUAAUACCUCAUAGUAUAAUCAAGCCGCAUGGUUUAAUUAUUAAAGUCACAACGGUGAAAGAUGAGCAUGCGUCCCAUUAGCUAGUUGGUAAGGUAACGGCUUACCAAGGCAACGAUGGGUAGGGGUCCUGAGAGGGAGAUCCCCCACACUGGUACUGAGACACGGACCAGACUCCUACGGGAGGCAGCAGUGAGGAAUAUUGGACAAUGGGCGCAAGCCUGAUCCAGCCAUGCCGCGUGCAGGAUGACGGUCCUAUGGAUUGUAAACUGCUUUUGUACGAGAAGAAACAUCCCGACGUGUCGGGACUUGACGGUAUCGUAAGAAUAAGGAUCGGCUAACUCCGUGCCAGCAGCCGCGGUAAUACGGAGGAUCCAAGCGUUAUCCGGAAUCAUUGGGUUUAAAGGGUCCGUAGGCGGUUUAGUAAGUCAGUGGUGAAAGCCCAUCGCUCAACGGUGGAACGGCCAUUGAUACUGCUGAACUUGAAUUAUUAGGAAGUAACUAGAAUAUGUAGUGUAGCGGUGAAAUGCUUAGAUAUUACAUGGAAUACCAAUUGCGAAGGCAGGUUACUACUAAUGGAUUGACGCUGAUGGACGAAAGCGUGGGGAGCGAACAGGAUUAGAUACCCUGGUAGUCCACGCCGUAAACGAUGGAUACUAGCUGUUGGGGGCAACUUCAGUGGCUAAGCGAAAGUGAUAAGUAUCCCACCUGGGG
rnacentral:rRNA from 1 species